rnacentral:rRNA from 1 species
GCGAGUCUUUGUAGUAAUACAAGGCAGACGGCUCAGUAACACGUAGUCAACCUACCCUAUGGACAAGAAUAAUCUCGGGAAACUGGGCAUAAUUCUUGAUAGAUCAUAAUGCCUGGAAUGGUUUAUGGUUAAAAUGAUUCGUCGCCAUAGGAUGGGACUGCGGCCUAUCAGCUUGUUGGUGAGGUAAUGGCCCACCAAGGCGAUUACAGGUACGGGCUCUGAGAGGAGAAGCCCGGAGAUGGGUACUGAGACACGGACCCAGGCCCUAUGGGGCGCAGCAGGCGAGAAAACUUUGCAAUGUGCGAAAGCACGACAAGGUUAAUCCGAGUGAUUUCUGCUAAAGAAAUCUUUUGCCAGUCAUAAAACCACUGGUGAAUAAGGGGUGGGCAAGUUCUGGUGUCAGCCGCCGCGGUAAAACCAGCACCUCAAGUGGUCAGGAUGAUUAUUGGGCCUAAAGCAUCCGUAGCCGGCUUUGUAAGUUUUCGGUUAAAUCCACGUGCUCAACGCAUGGGCUGCCGAAAAUACUGCAUGGCUACGGAGUGGGAGAGGUAGACGGUACCCAGUA